GCUGUGGCGGGGAGGGUUCCUGGCACCGUGAUUUGAUGCACAAAGACAAACAAAAAUCACAUUGCCAGGGAUUUCCACCCUUUCACAG
rnacentral:pre_miRNA from 2 species